CUGCAAACAAAUGGACCAUCCAUGGAAAACAAAGGAGGGAACAGAUUAGGUUGGUGCCUUUAUUGUCGCACUGGUCAUGACCCCUCCAGUACGCCAUUUCAUUUGUCGGCAAAAAAGAUUAUGGUUUAUGGCUACCAACAACAGUACCACCAUGUAGCUGGGAUUUCCGCGACAUAUUAUGAACUAAUAAACCUGAUUAGCAUCUAAACAAAAUAUUCUACAAGAUUUGUGUGCUCAGUUUUCAAAAG
rnacentral:misc_RNA from 1 species